rnacentral:rRNA from 1 species
AACGAACGCUGGCGGCAGGCUUAACACAUGCAAGUCGAGCGCCCCGCAAGGGGAGCGGCAGACGGGUGAGUAACGCGUGGGAACGUACCUUUUGGUUCGGAACAACUCCGGGAAACUGGAGCUAAUACCGGAUAAGCCCUAACGGGGAAAGAUUUAUCGCCGAAAGAUCGGCCCGCGUCUGAUUAGCUAGUUGGUGAGGUAACGGCUCACCAAGGCGACGAUCAGUAGCUGGUCUGAGAGGAUGAUCAGCCACACUGGGACUGAGACACGGCCCAGACUCCUAGGGGAGGCAGCAGUGGGGAAUAUUGGAAAAGGGGCGAAAGCCUGACCCAGCCAUGCCGGGGGAGGGAGGAAGGCCUUAGGGUUGUAAAGCUCUUUUGUCCGGGAAGAAAAUGACUGUACCGGAAAAAUAAGCCCCGGCAAACUUCGU